ensembl:snRNA U11 spliceosomal RNA
AAAAAGGGCCUCUGUCGGUGAGAGGCACAUGUAGAGCAGCCUGAUUGCUCUACGUGCGGAAUCCACAUCAAGAGAUUUCGGGAGCAUAAUUUUUUGGUACUUGGUCAGCUGGUGAUCAUUGGUCCUGGAGCCCGC